rnacentral:rRNA from 1 species
GACGAACGCUGGCGGCGUGCUUAACACAUGCAAGUCGAACGGAAAGGCCCUGCUUUUGUGGGGUGCUCGAGUGGCGAACGGGUGAGUAACACGUGAGUAACCUGCCCUUGACUUUGGGAUAACUUCAGGAAACUGGGGCUAAUACCGGAUAGGAGCUCCUGCUGCAUGGUGGGGGUUGGAAAGUUUCGGCGGUUGGGGAUGGACUCGCGGCUUAUCAGCUUGUUGGUGGGGUAGUGGCUUACCAAGGCUUUGACGGGUAGCCGGCCUGAGAGGGUGACCGGCCACAUUGGGACUGAGAUACGGCCCAGACUCCUACGGGAGGCAGCAGUGGGGAAUAUUGCACAAUGGGCGGAAGCCUGAUGCAGCAACGCCGCGUGCGGGAUCACGGCCUUCGGGUUGUAAACCGCUUUCGCCUGUGACGAAGCGUGAGUGACGGUAAUGGGUAAAGAAGCGCCGGCUAACUACGUGCCAGCAGCCGCGGUGAUACGUAGGGUGCGAGCGUUGUCCGGAUUUAUUGGGCGUAAAGGGCUCGUAGGUGGUUGAUCGCGUCGGAAGUGUAAUCUUGGGGCUUAACCCUGAGCGUGCUUUCGAUACGGGUUGACUUGAGGAAGGUAGGGGAGAAUGGAAUUCCUGGUGGAGCGGUGGAAUGCGCAGAUAUCAGGAGGAACACCAGUGGCGAAGGCGGUUCUCUGGGCCUUUCCUGACGCUGAGGAGCGAAAGCGUGGGGAGCGAACAGGCUUAGAUACCCUGGUAGUCCACGCUGUAAACGGUGGGUACUAGGUGUGGGGUCCAUUCCACGGGUUCCGUGCCGUAGCUAACGCUUUAAGUACCCCGCCUGGGGAGUACGGCCGCAAGGCUAAAACUCAAAGGAAUUGACGGGGCCCCGCACAAGCGGCGGAGCAUGCGGAUUAAUUCGAUGCAACGCGUAGAACCUUACCUGGGUUUGACAUGGAUCGGGAGUGCUCAGAGAUGGGUGUGCCUCUUUUGGGGUCGGUUCACAGGUGGUGCAUGGCUGUCGUCAGCUCGUGUCGUGAGAUGUUGGGUUAAGUCCCGCAACGAGCGCAACCCUUGUUCACUGUUGCCAGCACGUUAUGGUGGGGACUCAGUGGAGACCGCCGGGGUCAACUCGGAGGAAGGUGGGGAUGACGUCAAGUCAUCAUGCCCCUUAUGUCCAGGGCUUCACGCAUGCUACAAUGGCUGGUACAGAGAGUGGCGAGCCUGUGAGGGUGAGCGAAUCUCGGAAAGCCGGUCUCAGUUCGGAUUGGGGUCUGCAACUCGACCUCAUGAAGUCGGAGUCGCUAGUAAUCGCAGAUCAGCAACGCUGCGGUGAAUACGUUCCCGGG